GCGAUCAUGAGCAUUCCGGAGUGAUCGUAACUUUGUGGAGGAGCGCGCGCGCGCGAGCUCAAGAGAACGUGCUCCGCAUAGGAACGUCACACAAUUUUCCUUUUCGCGUGCAUUGCGGGUCAAGGUGAAUUGGAUUUGUGUAAUAAGUUUAUAAAUCAAUAAAGUGAGAGAGACACAAUUAAAAUAUUUCCUCUUCGGCACCUCAUUGUAUCAUGAAUAAAAUGGUCACGUUUUGCGAUCAAUUGCAAUAAAAAAAAAAGUUAAAUUCAAACUCAUCGAUAUUAUAUUGCUUCCAUUCGCGCCCACACCAUCGUCGAUCCCAACAGUGGAUCUGUGAGUAGGUAUAAAAACUCCGGGAACCUCUUCUGGGAACUUCAGUUACCAUCAAUCAGUGCUCAAUCAGAGAUCCUCCUUUGCUAGUCAAAUUAGCUAACUUUGUGUGUGAAGAGAAAAAUGCAGAAGUUAACUAUCUUUUUGGUGCUUUUGGGAAUCUUUGUGGCUUCCUCAUUGGCAGCUCCUUCACCACAAAUUGCCCUCACAACAUCUCCAUUUGGUUAUGCUGCCUACACAGCCUACAGUUCUCCGUAUCUAGCAUCACCCUAUCGCUACUACUCACCCUAUAGAUAUGCCUAUCCUGGCUAUGGAUACUACGGAUACCCAUAUGUUGUUUAAAGAACAUUAAUUGCUGCGUAAAUUAAGGAUUCCCGAAGGAUGUUAAAAGGAUAAAAAAGGAGCUUUUUAGACGUUUCUAUUGUUGAAGUUUGAAUAAAUUUCGAGAAUUGUUGAGAUA